UGAACGCUGGCGGCGUGCUUAACACAUGCAAGUCGAACGAUGAAGCCUAGCUUGCUAGGUGGAUUAGUGGCGCACGGGUGAGUAAUAUAUAGAUAAUGUGCCUCUUAGUCUGGGAUAGCCAUUGGAAACGAUGAUUAAUACUAGAUACUCCUUCUAACUCUAAUGUUAGUCGGGAAAGUUUUUUCGCUAAGAGAUCAGUCUAUAUCCCAUCAGCUUGUUGGUAGUGUAAGAGACUACCAAGGCUAUGACGGGUAGCGGGUUUGAGAGGAUGAUCCGCCACACUGGUACUGAGACACGGACCAGACUCCUACGGGAGGCAGCAGUGAGGAAUAUUGCACAAUGGGGGAAACCCUGAUGCAGCAACGCCGCGUGGAGGAUGACGCAUUUCGGUGUGUAAACUCCUUUUAUGAGUCAAGAAAAUGACGGUAGCUAAUGAAUAAGCACCGGCUAACUCC
rnacentral:rRNA from 1 species